UACGGAGGGUGCGAGCGUUGUCCGGAAUUACUGGGCGUAAAGCGUGCGCAGGCGGCGCGUUAAGACAGGUGUGAAAGCCCCGAGCUUAACUUGGGAAUUGCGCUUGUGACUGGCGUGCUGGAGUGUGGCAGAGGGAGGUGGAAUUCCACGUGUAGCAGUGAAAUGCGUAGAGAUGUGGAGGAACACCGAUGGCGAAGGCAGCCUCCUGGGCCAGCACUGACGCUCAUGCACGAAAGCGUGGGGAGCAAACAGG
rnacentral:rRNA from 1 species